CCUACGGGUGGCAGCAGUGGGGGAUAUUGCACAAUGGGGGAAACCCUGAUGCAGCGACGCCGCGUGGGUGAAGAAGUAUUUCGGUAUGUAAAGCCCUAUCAGCAGGGAAGAAAGAAGACGGUACCUGACUAAGAAGCCCCGGCUAACUACGUGCCAGCAGCCGCGGUAAUACGUAGGGGGCGAGCGUUAUCCGGAUUCACUGGGUGUAAAGGGAGCGUAGGAGGCCGUGCAAGCCAGGAGUGAAAGCCCGGGGCCCAACCCCGGGACUGCUCUUGGAACUGUGCGGCUGGAGUGCGGGAGGGGCAGGCGGAAUUCCUGGUGUAGCGGUGAAAUGCGUAGAUAGCAGGAGGAACACCGGCGGCGAAGGCGGCCUGCUGGACCGCGACUGACGUUGAGGCUCGAAAGCGUGGGGAGCGAACAGGAUUAGAUACCCCAGUAGUC
rnacentral:rRNA from 1 species